rnacentral:rRNA from 1 species
GAACGCCGUAGCAAUACGGAGUGGCAGACGGGUGAGUAACGCGUGGGAACAUACCCCUCGGUUCGGAAUAACUCAGGGAAACUUGAGCUAAUACCGGAUACGUCCAAGGUUUUAAUCGACCUUGGAGAAAGAUUUAUCGCCGGGGGAUUGGCCCGCGUCUGAUUAGCUUGUUGGUGAGGUAAUGGCUCACCAAGGCGACGAUCAGUAGCUGGUCUGAGAGGAUGAUCAGCCACAUUGGGACUGAGACACGGCCCAAACUCCUACGGGAGGCAGCAGUGGGGAAUAUUGGACAAUGGGCGAAAGCCUGAUCCAGCCAUGCCGCGUGAGUGAUGAAGGCCUUAGGGUUGUAAAGCUCUUUUGCCCGGGAAGAUAAUGACGGUACCGGGAGAAUAAGCCCCGGCUAACUUCGUGCCAGCAGCCGCGGUAAUACGAAGGGGGCUAGCGUUGUUCGGAAUUACUGGGCGUAAAGCGCACGCAGGCGGAUCCUUAAGUCAGGGGUGAAAUCCCGAGGCUCAACCUCGGAACUGCCUUUGAUACUGGGGAUAUCGAGUCCGGGAGAGGUGAGUGGAACUGCGAGUGUAGAGGUGAAAUUCGUAGAUAUUCGCAAGAACACCAGUGGCGAAGGCGGCUCACUGGCCCGGUACUGACGCUGAGGUGCGAAAGCGUGGGGA